UGGUAGAGCGCUUCGUUUACACCGAAGAUGUCGGCGGUUCGAGCCCGUCAUCGCCCA
rnacentral:tRNA from 1 species